CGUGAGGCAUGCUGGAGGUAUCAGAAGUGCGAAUGCUGACAUAAGUAACGAUAAAGCGGGUGAAAAGCCCGCUCGCCGGAAGACCAAGGGUUCCUGUCCAACGUUAAUCGGGGCAGGGUGAGUCGACCCCUAAGGCGAGGCCGAAAGGCGUAGUCGAUGGGAAACGGGUUAAUAUUCCCGUACUUGGUGUUACUGCGAAGGGGGGACGGAGAAGGCUAUGUUGGCCGGGCGACGGUUGUCCCGGUUUAAGCGUGUAGGUGUGUGUUCCAGGUAAAUCCGGUUCACUUUAACACUGAGGCGUGACGACGAGGCACUACGGUGCUGAAGCAACAAAUGCCCUGCUUCCAGGAAAAGCCUCUAAGCAUCAGGUAACAUCAAAUCGUACCCCAAACCGACACAGGUGGUCAGGUAGAGAAUACCAAGGCGCUUGAGAGAACUCGGGUGAAGGAACUAGGCAAAAUGGUGCCGUAACUUCGGGAGAAGGCACGCUGACACGUAGGUGAAGUGAUUUACUCAUGGAGCUGAAGUCAGUCGAAGAUACCAGCUGGCUGCAACUGUUUAUUAAAAACACAGCACUGUGCAAACACGAAAGUGGACGUAUACGGUGUGACGCCUGCCCGGUGCCGGAAGGUUAAUUGAUGGGGUCAGCGCAAGCGAAGCUCCUGAUCGAAGCCCCGGUAAACGGCGGCCGUAACUAUAACGGUCCUAAGGUAGCGAAAUUCCUUGUCGGGUAAGUUCCGACCUGCACGAAUGGCGUAAUGAUGGCCAGGCUGUCUCCACCCGAGACUCAGUGAAAUUGAACUCGCUGUGAAGAUGCAGUGUACCCGCGGCAAGACGGAAAGACCCCGUGAACCUUUACUAUAGCUUGACACUGAACAUUGAGCCUUGAUGUGUAGGAUAGGUGGGAGGCUUUGAAGUGUGGACGCCAGUCUGCAUGGAGCCGACCUUGAAAUACCACCCUUUAAUGUUUGAUGUUCUAACGUGGACCCGUUACCCGGGUUGCGGACAGUGUCUGGUGGGUAGUUUGACUGGGGCGGUCUCCUCCUAAAGAGUAACGGAGGAGCACGAAGGUUGGCUAAUCCUGGUCGGACAUCAGGAGGUUAGUGCAAUGGCAUAAGCCAGCUUGACUGCGAGCGUGACGGCGCGAGCAGGUGCGAAAGCAGGUCAUAGUGAUCCGGUGGUUCUGAAUGGAAGGGCCAUCGCUCAACGGAUAAAAGGUACUCCGGGGAUAACAGGCUGAUACCGCCCAAGAGUUCAUAUCGACGGCGGUGUUUGGCACCUCGAUGUCGGCUCAUCACAUCCUGGGGCUGAAGUAGGUCCCAAGGGUAUGGCUGUUCGCCAUUUAAAGUGGUACGCGAGCUGGGUUUAGAACGUCGUGAGACAGUUCGGUCCCUAUCUGCCGUGGGCGCUGGAGAACUGAGGGGGGCUGCUCCUAGUACGAGAGGACCGGAGUGGACGCAUCACUGGUGUUCGGGUUGUCAUGCCAAUGGCACUGCCCGGUAGCUAAAUGCGGAAGAGAUAAGUGCUGAAAGCAUCUAAGCACGAAACUUGCCCCGAGAUGAGUUCUCCCUGAGACUUAAAGUCUCCUGAAGGAACGUUGAAGACGACGACGUUGAUAG
rnacentral:rRNA from 1 species